GGAUCAGACUUUGAUUCUGGCUCAGGAUGAACGCUAGCUACAGGCUUAACACAUGCAAGUCGAGGGGAAACGACAUCGAAAGCUUGCUUUUGAUGGGCGUCGACCGGCGCACGGGUGAGUAACGCGUAUCCAACCUGCCCACCACUUGGGGAUAACCUUGCGAAAGUAAGACUAAUACCCAACGACAUCCCACGAAGGCAUCCGAAUGGGAUUAAAGACUUAUCGGUGAUGGAUGGGGAUGCGUCUGAUUAGCUUGUUGGCGGGGUAACGGCCCACCAAGGCAACGAUCAGUAGGGGUUCUGAGAGGAAGGUCCCCCACAUUGGAACUGAGACACGGUCCAAACUCCUACGGGAGGCAGCAGUGAGGAAUAUUGGUCAAUGGGCGAGAGCCUGAACCAGCCAAGUAGCGUGCAGGAUGACGGCCCUAUGGGUUGUAAACUGCUUUUAUAAGGGAAUAAAGUGAGUCUCGUGAGACUUUUUGCAUGUACCUUAUGAAUAAGGACCGGCUAAUUCCGUGCCAGCAGCCGCGGUAAUACGGAAGGUCCGGGCGUUAUCCGGACUUAUUGGGUUUAAAGGGAGCGUAGGCCGGAGAUUAAGCGUGUUGUGAAAUGUAGUGGCUCAACCUCUGCACUGCAGCGCGAACUGGUCUUCUUGAGUACGCACAACGUGGGCGGAAUUCGUGGUGUAGCGGUGAAAUGCUUAGAUAUCACGAAGAACUCCGAUUGCGAAGGCAGUUCACGGGAGCGCAACUGACGCUGAAGCUCGAAAGUGCGGGUAUCGAACAGGAUUAGAUACCCUGGUAGUCCGCACGGUAAACGAUGGAUGCCCGCUGUUGGCCUGAAUAGGUCAGCGGCCAAGCGAAAGCAUUAAGCAUCCCACCUGGGGAGUACGCCGGCAACGGUGCAACUCAAAUGAAUUGACGG
rnacentral:rRNA from 1 species